UUCGGGGUACUCGAGCGGCGAACGGGUGAGUAACACGUGAGUAACCUGCCCCAGGCUUUGGGAUAACCCCGGGAAACCGGGGCUAAUACCGGAUAUGACCAUCUGUCGCAUGGUGGGUGGUGGAAAGAUUUUUUGGCUUGGGAUGGGCUCGCGGCCUAUCAGCUUGUUGGUGGGGUGAUGGCCUACCAAGGCGGCGACGGGUAGCCGGCCUGAGAGGGCGACCGGCCACACUGGGACUGAGACACGGCCCAGACUCCUACGGGAGGCAGCAGUGGGGAAUCUUGCACAAUGGGCGGAAGCCUGAUGCAGCGACGCCGCGUGAGGGAUGACGGCCUUCGGGUUGUAAACCUCUUUCAGCAGGGACGAAGCGUUUGUGACGGUACCUGCAGAAGAAGCGCCGGCCAACUACGUGCCAGCAGCCGCGGUAAGACGUAGGGCGCAAGCGUUGUCCGGAUUUAUUGGGCGUAAAGAGCUCGUAGGCGGCUUGUCGCGUCGACUGUGAAAACCCGUGGCUCAACUGCGGGCUUGCAGUCGAUACGGGCAGGCUAGAGUUCGGUAGGGGAGACUGGAAUUCCUGGUGUAGCGGUGAAAUGCGCAGAUAUCAGGAGGAACACCGGUGGCGAAGGCGGGUCUCUGGGCCGAUACUGACGCUGAGGAGCGAAAGCGUGGGGAGCGAACAGGAUUAGAUACCCUGGUAGUCCACGCUGUAAACGUUGGGCGCUAGGUGUGGGGGGCCUCUCCGGUUCUCUGUGCCGCAGCUAACGCAUUAAGCGCCCCGCCU
rnacentral:rRNA from 1 species